rnacentral:rRNA from 1 species
UACGUAGGGUGCGAGCGUUAAUCGGAAUUACCGGGCGUAAAGCGUGCGCAGGCGGUUUUGUAAGUCAGAUGUGAAAUCCCCGGGCUCAACCUGGGAACUGCGUUUGAAACUGCAAGGCUAGAGUAUGGGAGAGGGAGGUAGAAUUCCACGUGUAGCAGUGAAAUGCGUAGAGAUGUGGAGGAAUACCAAUGGCGAAGGCAGCCUCCUGGCCUAAUACUGACGCUCAUGCACGAAAGCGUGGGGAGCAAACAGG